GACGUAGGGGGCGAGCGUUGUCCGGAUUUAUUGGGCGUAAAGAGCUCGUAGGCGGUCUGUCACGUCUGCCGUGAAAACCCGAGGCUUAACCUCGUGGCUUGCGGUGGAUACGGGCAGACUAGAGGUAGGUAGGGGAGAACGGAAUUCCCGGUGUAGCGGUGAAAUGCGCAGAUAUCGGGAGGAACACCGGUGGCGAAGGCGGUUCUCUGGGCCUUACCUGACGCUGAGGAGCGAAAGCAUGGGGAGCGAACAGG
rnacentral:rRNA from 1 species